UACGUAGGGGGCAAGCGUUGUCCGGAAUCAUUGGGCGUAAAGCGCGUGUAGGCGGUUCAGUAAGUCUGCUGUGAAAGUCCAGGGCUCAACCCUGGGAUGCCGGUGGAUACUGCUGGGCUAGAGUACGGAAGAGGCGAGUGGAAUUCCCGGUGUAGCGGUGAAAUGCGCAGAUAUCAGGAGGAACACCAAUGGCGAAGGCAGCUCGCUGGGACGUGACUGACGCUGAGACGCGAAAGCGUGGGGAGCAAACAGG
rnacentral:rRNA from 1 species